CCUACGGGUGGCAGCAGUGAGGAAUAUUGGUCAAUGGGCGCGAGCCUGAACCAGCCAAGUCGCGUGAGGGAAGACGGUCCUAUGGAUUGUAAACCUCUUUUGUCGGGGAGCAAAAGACGCCACGCGUGGCGUUCCGAGAGUACCCGAAGAAAAAGCAUCGGCUAACGCCGUGCCAGCAGCCGCGGUAAUACGGAGGAUGCGAGCGUUAUCCGGAUUUAGUGGGUUUACAGGGUGCGCAGGCGGAAGAUCAAGUAAGCGGUAACAUUGAGAGGCGCAACCUCUUCGCGCCGUUUAAACUGGUUUUCUUGAUUGCGCCUGACGUAUGCGGAAUGCGUGGUGUAGCGGUGCAAUGCAUCGAUAUCACGC
rnacentral:rRNA from 1 species